rnacentral:rRNA from 1 species
CAGUCGCCGCGGUAAUACGUAGGGUGCAAGCGUUAAUCGGAAUUACUGGGCGUAAAGCGUGCGUAGGCGGCUUCUUAAGUCGGAUGUGAAAUCCCUGAGCUUAACUUAGGAAUUGCAUUCGAUACUGGGAAGCUAGAGUAUGGGAGAGGAUGGUAGAAUUCCAGGUGUAGCGGUGAAAUGCGUAGAGAUCUGGAGGAAUACCGAUGGCGAAGGCAGCCAUCUGGCCUAAUACUGACGCUGAGGUACGAAAGCAUGGGGAGCAAACAGGAUUAGAUACCCCUGUAGUCCCUGUCUCUUUACA